CCUUGCUCAAACUAGGAAGGGUGUCAAAAAGUAAACACCGAAUACUUCAGAUUUGGGUUACUUUCCAGCUUGCAUGACAACACAUUUAAAUAACAUCCCACUUUGUCCCCAACAAUAGAAUCAGUAUAUGUAUGGGCAGCACUAGAAGCAAUCUUCAAUCCCAUGUUUAUUGAUAAAAUCAGGCUUUCUAUUUGGGGACACAUCUAGGCAAACCGCAGCUCUUUAUACAUGAGCUACUGUUAAACAGUCUGUCCCAAAUUGGACUGCCUACAACAAUAUGACCUGUCUUCAGAAAACACUGACCCAACUUGCUAGAUUCUCUAGUUACCAUUUCUUGCUGCCAGCAUGCCCUGUUUGGAAACAUGAAUCAAAACAUUCAAACACUGACAACCUAUUGCAUCUGUUCCCAAAAAAGCUAGUCAAACACAAGCACCAAAUCCUAAAACACAAUGAGGCACUUUUAAGAUGAGCUUUUAUUGUACAACACAAAGACAGCAGAGGUGAGGUCAUGUCUCCAUUUUGUAUUCAAUUAGGCCCCCGCUAAUGUUUUCUUCAAAGUGGGACCCAUCUAGAUUUACCCAAUGGACACCAAAUCCCUGGCUGAUUCAAGCAGAUGACAAAACCUAAAAACAAAAGUAGUAUUGGUCACAAAAAUCUCAAAUGUCAUUUAUGAGCAUAUGAACAGUUAAGUCUUACCAGCCACUCAUGGAAGAAUUAACCAUUAGACUUUGUUGAUAGAAAUAUAUUAGUACAAGUAUUUCAAAUUCAGAAAACAAAUAUAUUUUUGAUGGGACCUCCCAUCACAUUUCCUGAAACUUAGUUGAUCGUUGCUUCUGCUGUUGAGUCAUGGGAGCCAGUUGAUACUGCCGAGGAGUUAAAGCUAGUUGUAGCUGAAGUAUUUGGAAGAGCUGGCACACUUGAAUCAAGGUUCUGACAGAGAAAGGGAGACUGUUGUGAUACGUUGUGCCAGUUUACUUCACCUGGAGUAUUUGAGCUGGUUGGUUUUGAUGUAACUUGUUGAAUAUAUUCAUAGUCACCU
ensembl:lncRNA